UCGGAUCAGGUAGGGAUACCCGCUGAACUUAAGCAUAUCAAUAAGCGGAGGAAAAGAAACCAACAGGGAUUGCCUCAGUAACGGCGAGUGAAGCGGCAACAGCUCAAAUUUGAAAUCUGGCUCUUUCGGGUCCGAGUUGUAAUUUGUAGAAGAUGCUUCGGGGGUGGCUCCGGUCUAAGUUCCUUGGAACAGGACGUCAUAGAGGGUGAGAAUCCCGUAUGUGACUGGCUGCCUUCGCCUAUGUGAAGCUCUUUCGACGAGUCGAGUUGUUUGGGAAUGCAGCUCAAAAUGGGUGGUAAAUUUCAUCUAAAGCUAAAUAUUGGCCAGAGACCGAUAGCGCACAAGUAGAGUGAUCGAAAGAUGAAAAGCACUUUGGAAAGAGAGUUAAACAGUACGUGAAAUUGUUGAAAGGGAAGCGCUUGCAACCAGACUUGCACUUGGUCGAUCAUCCGAGGUUCUCCCCGGUGCACUCGAUCUCGUUCAGGCCAGCAUCGGUUCAGGUGGUGGGAUAAAGGCCUUGGGAAUGUAGCUUCUUUCGGGGAGUGUUAUAGCCCUCGGUGCAAUGCCGCCUACCUGGACCGAGGACCGCGCUUCGGCUAGGAUGCUGGCGUAAUGGUUGU
rnacentral:rRNA from 1 species